rnacentral:rRNA from 1 species
UACGUAGGUGGCAAGCGUUGUCCGGAUUUAUUGGGUUUAAAGGGUGCGUAGGCGGUUUUGUAAGUCAGUGGUGAAAUACUCCAGCUUAACUGGAGGGGUGCCAAUGAUACUGCAGAACUUGAGUACAGAUGAGGUAGGCGGAAUUGACGGUGUAGCGGUGAAAUGCAUAGAUAUCGUCAAGAACACCGAUAGCGAAGGCAGCUUACUGGGCUGUAACUGACGCUGAGGCACGAAAAGUGUGGGGGAUCAAAACAGGG